CCUACGGGAGGCUGCAGUGAGGAAUAUUGGUCAAUGGGCGCGAGCCUGAACCAGCCAAGUCGCGUGAGGGAGGACGGCCCUACGGGUUGUAAACCUCUUUUGCCGGGGAGCAACGGGCGUCACGUGUGGCGCCACUGAGAGUACCCGGAGAAAAAGCAUCGGCUAACUCCGGGCCAGCAGCCGCGGUAAUACGGAGGAUGCGAGCGUUAUCCGGUUUUAUUGGGUUUAAAGGGGUCGUAGGCGGAUCGUUAAGUCAGUGGUCAAAUUGAGGGGCUCAACCCCUGCCCGCCAUUGAAACUGGCGUUCUUGAGUGGAAGAGAAGUAUGCGGAAUGCGUGGUGUAGCGGUGAAAUGCAUAGAUAUCACGCAGAACCCCGAUUGCGAAGGCAGCAUGCCGGCUUCCGACUGACGCUGAAGCACGAAAGCGUGGGGAUCGAACAGGAUUAGAUACCCCUGUAGUC
rnacentral:rRNA from 1 species